AAAAAGCAAAAGUAACAAAGAGGUGAAGUAUCAAAAGUACAAGGACCGAAUAUCUAAAUACAACCACAAUUCCGCAAAUUCAACCUCAACGACCCAACAAUACCUAGCAAUUUGGGGAAGAUUCAAGACACCGAUCAAAAAUGUCACCCGGAGACAAUAACGGCACGAAGCUGUUACCACUGCUAUAUCUAAUCGGCGCUGGAAUCCUCUGUACGGCUGCGAUCAACAAGUGGAGGGCCGUAAAGAAGUCGGAGCUCCGACAUCAACAGCACCGGCGAUUGUUAGAGGAGCCGUCUAAAGCCGUUGAUUGAGAUUUGUGAAUUGCAUACGUCGGUAACGCUGAAAUUAGGGUUUCGAAAUUUUGAGAAAAUUUUGCUCAUUAUCAGUUUUGUUAUUUUUUUUUCGUAAUUAAAGUUUUAUUUUAUAUCGGUUUUUGUUUCGUGUUGGUCGAAUUCACAUUGUUAAAAAUCGAAUGUUGAAUGCCAAUUUGCUUGUAGAUCU